UACGUAGGGCGCUAGCGUUAUUCGGAAUUAUUGGGCGUAAAGAGCUCGUAGGCGGUUUGUCGCGUCUGCCGUGAAAGUCCGGGGCUUAACUCCGGAUCUGCGGUGGGUACGGGCAGACUAGAGUGCAGUAGGGGAGACUGGAAUUCCUGGUGUAGCGGUGAAAUGCGCAGAUAUCAGGAGGAACACCGAUGGCGAAGGCAGGUCUCUGGGCUGUAACUGACGCUGAGGAGCGAAAGCAUGGGGAGCGAACAGG
rnacentral:rRNA from 1 species